rnacentral:rRNA from 1 species
UGGGAACGUACCCUUCGGUUCGGAACAACCCAGGGAAACUUGGGCUAAUACCGAAUACGUCCGUAAGGGGGAAAGAUUUAUCGCCGAAGGAUCGGCCCGCGUCUGAUUAGCUAGUUGGUGGGGUAAUGGCCCACCAAGGCGACGAUCAGUAGCUGGUCUGAGAGGAUGAUCAGCCACACUGGGACUGAGACACGGCCCAGACUCCUACGGGAGGCAG